UAUUGGCUGUCGGCAAUAGCUUUUCCAGUUGAUUGGACAGAGUGGAUGCCCAUCAGAGUCACGCUGAGGGACCACGGGAAACAAAACUGGGGGAAAGCGACUUUCUUCCGGAAAGUCGCCAAGGGGGCCAGCAGGGAUGCCCAGGGAUGGCGGGGAAAGGYGCUGGGCGGGGUUUCGUCUGUUCUGCGGAACGCCGGGAAGGGGUCACUUCUAGACGAAGGUUCCGGUUCCGAAGUCGGCUGCCGGGGGUUGCCAUGGCGACGCGGCGGGCAGUCGAUCCGGCUCUAGCCGAAUCCCGAAAGUCGGAAGCACUAGGGCAGGGGGGCCCUCGCUUCUCCAGCCCCGGUGCUGUCGCCUGCGCGGUCGCUGGACUUCGGGCCUCGCCGGUCCUCCAGCCCAGCUGAGUCAGCGCUCAAGCCUGGGCUGGGCAAGGGUUGCUGAAUGGAGAACUCAAACAGGGAGGAGCUGCCAGGCGCCCGCGGCCCGGCGCUCGGAAGCUCCCGCCGGCGAUCACGUGCACCUGCGAGUUCAAGACCAGGCUGGGCGGCCUAGCGUGACCCGGUCMGGAAAAGAAAAAAUCCAUUAAUUCCGGAUAAGUCAGAGGAAGGAGCAUCAUGGGAAGAAAUAUAUAGAAAAUGCUGUUAACGCUGAGUUGACUGUUGUUUCAAAGUCAGAAGGUGUCCUUAACAAUACAGAAUGUAUUAAUUUCCUUCCAAAAUCAACUUUUAUUCAUGUAUAUAUUGGAGUAAGUUUCUUACUUAAAAAUUUUUGAUAAUUUGUUCCUGAAAACCUACAUUGUUUUUUAUUUAAACUGUCUUAAUUCUGUUUUUGUAUUGACUAAGAGAGGGAGAAGAAUUCACAAACUGUGUUCUGAGGAUCUGAGACAGAGUAGUAAUGGGAACAUAUAUGUAGACCACACACACUCUGUGUUUUCAUAUAUU